UACGUAGGGGGCUAGCGUUGUCCGGAAUCAUUGGGCGUAAAGCGCGCAUAGGCGGCCAGAUAAGUCCGGUGUGAAAGUCACAGGCUCAACCUGUGAAUGCCGCUGGAAACUGUCUGGCUAGAGUCCGGAAGGGGCGAGUGGAAUUCCUGGUGUAGCGGUGAAAUGCGCAGAUAUCAGGAGGAACACCAAUGGCGAAGGCAGCUCGCUGGAACGGUACUGACGCUGAGGCGCGAAAGCGUGGGGAGCGAACAGG
rnacentral:rRNA from 1 species